UUUGAAAAAAAAUUAAUUUUAGACCCAAUCAGACUUAACGAAUGUUGAAACUUUUUGUGAGAUCAAACAAAACGUGUAUAUUUUCAAUUGCAAUUGAGUAUUUUUUUUAAAAAUUUAGUCGUUAUAAAAUAUUUUCUAUAUUUAGUGUUUAUAUUAUCUUAACUAUUCUAUAAAAAUAUAUAUCGCAAACGCCAUCAAGUGCCUUGUUGAAUGAUCAAGAUCGAAGUAUAGAUAAAAUAGGAUUGUACCAGCAUUUCAGCUAAUUAGAAUUAUUUUGACUUUGACGGUAUAUCAGUCUUGUAUUUUUGUUUUAAAUAUUUAAUGUUGUAAAAUGUAUUAAUGAUAAAUAUUGCUCAACUUGUUUUAAAUAACAUAUUUCGGAACUUCUGUAAUCUCACUAAUAGCAAGGUGACUACAAGGUGUCAAAUUCAGCAAAGUCAAACAUUUCGUUUGAUCGCAUUGCAGUGCUAUCAUAUUACGGUUUUGCAUCAAAAUGGCUGCUGUUACGGACAUCACAAAUGAAAUUGAAGAUAAAAAAGAAUUCUUGCGUAGCGCAGGAAGGAGGCUUGACUUAAAAGGUUUAGUCGAUGAAGAGAUUCUAUACACAUUUUGCGGAAAUGGACGCAAGUAUAUUCUAUUCAUUCUACAGCUUUACCCAAAAAUCGGAAAAGUAUAUUUUACAAAUCUCAUGGACUCUUUUAACGUUGAACACAUUCCACGUAAAGCAGAAUUGCUCACUGCUGACCUUCAAGAUAUAAUCAAGAAUCUGUGUUUCCGAAAUUUCCUAUACGACUAAGUAGGAAUGAAUAUAAAGAACUUGUCAAAGACAUCGGCUUUUCAGUUGUUGAGUGUGAGGAAUAUUAUCGAAUAUUCGAAUUCGAAAGCCUGCUGGACUUUUACGAAAAAUGUGAGUAUGACAUUUGUUUCAAAUUU